rnacentral:rRNA from 1 species
AGUCAAGAGAAGUAAGUGCAUCUGGUGGAUGCCUUGGCGAUGAUAGGCGAAGAAGGACGCGACAGUCUGCGAAAAGCCUCGGGGAGCUGACAAUAAGUGAUAAUCCGGGGGUAUCCGAAUGGGGCAACCUUACUGAUUUAAUCAGUAAUCCUAUACUGAAUCCAUAGGUAUAGGAAGCGAACCUAGGGAACUGAACCAUCUAAGUACCUAGAGGAAAAGAAAUCAACCGAGAUUCUGCGAGUAGUGGCGAGCGAAAGUGGAAGAGCCUGCAUAAGAUAGCGAGUAAUUUAGGAGAACGACUUGGGAAAGUCGACCAUAGGGGGUGAAAGUCCCGUAUCUGAAAAGUUACUGGUGGUACUGAUUAUGCGACAAGUAGGGCGAGACACGAGGAAUCUUGUCUGAAGAUGGGGGGACCAUCCUCCAAGGCUAAAUACUCAUCAUCGACCGAUAGUGAACAAGUACCGUGAGGGAAAGGUGAAAAGGACCCCGGGAGGGGAGUUAAAAGAACCUGAAACCGGAUGCAUACAAACAGUGGGAGCUAGGCGACUAGUGACUGCGUACCUUUUGUAUAAUGGGUCAACGACUUACAUUCAGUAGCGAGCUUAACCGAGUAGGGGAGGCGCAGGGAAACCGAGUCUUAAUAGGGCGGAUAGUUUCUGGAUGUAGACCCGAAACCGAGUGAUCUAUCCAUGUCCAGGAUGAAGGUUAGGUAACACUGACUGGAGGUCCGAACCUACUAAUGUUGCAAAAUUAGAGGAUGAGGUGUGGAUAGGGGUGAAAGGC